ensembl:misc_RNA Metazoa_SRP Metazoan signal recognition particle RNA
GCUGGGUGCAGUGGCGUGCACCUGUAGUCCCAGCUACUUGGGAGGCUGAGGCGAGAGGCUCACUUGAGCCCCAGGAAUUCAAGGCUGCAGUGAGCUGUGAUCGUACCACUGUACUCCAGCCUGGGCAACAGAAAGAGACCCCAUCUCUU